rnacentral:rRNA from 1 species
GAUCCUGGCUCAGGAUGAACGCUGGCGGCGUGCUUAACACAUGCAAGUCGAACGAAGCACUUAAGAAUGAUUCUUCGGAUGAAUUUUUUUGUGACUUAGUGGCGGACGGGUGAGUAACGCGUGGGUAACCUGCCUCACACAGGGGGAUAACAGUUGGAAACGACCGCUAAUACCGCAUAACCCGCUAGGGUCGCAUGGCCCGGACGGAAAAGAUUUAUCGGUGUGAGAUGGACCCGCGUUGGGUUAGCUAGUUGGCAGGG